rnacentral:rRNA from 1 species
CAGUCGCCGCGGGAAUACGUAGGGUGCGAGCGUUAAUCGGAAUUACUGGGCGUAAAGCGUGCGCAGGCGGUUUUGUAAGACAGAGGUGAAAUCCCCGGGCUCAACCUGGGAACUGCCUUUGUGACUGCAAGGCUAGAGUACGGCAGAGGGGGAUGGAAUUCCGCGUGUAGCAGUGAAAUGCGUAGAUAUGCGGAGGAACACCGAUGGCGAAGGCAAUCCCCUGGGCCUGUACUGACGCUCAUGCACGAAAGCGUGGGGAGCAAACAGGAUUAGAUACCCGUGUAGUCCCUGUCUCUUAUAC